rnacentral:lncRNA from 1 species
AGCGUUGCUAGAAAUAGUUGUAUUCGUAUUCCCAUUGGCUCUAUUUGCAUUUGGCGACACUUCUGCCCGGUUAGUGCUCGUACCCUCAUCGGAGGGCACUGUCAGGCUCGCUUGGUUCAUCGGGUUCCCUUUCUGAUGUACACCAGAUCCUCCAUUCGUAACAUGAGUGGCCGGAGAGGCAGCUGAUAAGGCACCUCCCACCCAAGUUACCUCGUCACACAAUUGAGAAAGUUGUAGGCUUUUUGCUAGGUUUUGGGUCUCCACGAUAGGCAGAUGUGCUGCCAAAGUUUCAUUAGCAGGAACCUGAGGUUCUGAGAUUUCAUUAAGAACUUGAUCGCAUGGAUGAACGAAAUCCAGUUGAUAUGAUAAUCGGAUAGGGUUGCCUACUGUUUGAGCUGAUGAUGCCUCAGGUACAACAUCUCGUUGGUUUUCAGUUCUCAAUC